AAUUCCUGCAAAGUGCUCCUGAAAGUUUUUCUCUCUUAGAACAAAAGACUGGACUAAUUUCUGUGGCUAAAAGUAAGAAUCGUAAAAGAAAUGUUUUCAGAGACUUGUGGUCAAGCUGUGGAUUUGUUUCAUGUUUCACACGAUGCUUGGUUCACAAUGGCAAGAAUCAAGUUGAAAUAUUUGAAGGCUUUAUGGAAAAAAAGAAUUGGUUAUGAAUUUAUUAUACUUUAAUUUGAUAUUUUAAACUAAAUGUGACAAAAUUGUAAGUUAAAUAUCUUCAAAACUGUUUUAGGAAAAGUUGUUUGAAAUAGUUCUUUUAAUUGAAUGAAAUAAGUUGAAGAAAAAUAUUACAGUUUAUUAUCCAUUUCUGAAA